CCAAACUUGGUCAUUUAGAGGAAGUAAAAGUCGUAACAAGGUUUCCGUAGGUGAACCUGCGGAAGGAUCAUUAUCGAAUUUGAUGGGGGUUUCGACGCUGGCCUCUUUUCUCCUUCUGUGGGGGGGAGGGAGGCAUGUGCUCACCUCUGCCAGAUCCAACUCAAUCAUCCCCUCUGUGCAUCUUGGGGGGAGGAAGGUGUCGAGAGAUUGUUUUCCUCUCCCCCCUCCUUUACAACCACAAACCUGACUGUGUCAUGAACGUCCUGCGUGCGCGUGCAUUGCCCUUUGAUGGGUCGUGCGGGCGUCGAGUUAACAUAUUACAACUUUCAACAACGGAUCUCUCGGCUCUCGCAUCGAUGAAGAACGCAGC
rnacentral:misc_RNA from 1 species